AAUAAAGUGCCUGAAAAAGGAUUAUUCUGAUAGGAUAAAUCAUGUAAACAAUAUUUACCUUUAUUA
rnacentral:tRNA from 1 species